UUGAGGUUAUAUAUUUUAAUUCCGCUGCAUGAUUGUGGUGUAUGAUAUCAGAAACAGACAAAUGAAACACGUAACCCUCAAGCCCCACUUGGCGGGUUCGGGGCGUAACACUUCUAGUCAUGGAUCAAACGCUCGAGAUUGGUCUUCCCUUUCUUUGUCUCGAUCUCGCUUUGCUUACGAUUACGACGCUCUUGCUCGAAUUGGUUGAGUUCUUAGGACUGAUGGGCGGCGAAGACAGAGUCUUAACUAUCGAUAUUUGAGGCAGUGGAGGCGGUGAGGACUUGAGUGCUGUUGUCGACUCCAUUCAUUCGAUAAGGAACACCUUAAAAGGAAGGUUGGCAUUCUCGCAGUUGAGAGAGUGUCAUACUAAAGAUUUGAAGGUUGCGUGUUCGGUCCACGCUCACCUUAAUUUCCUUAAUUAAAUUCCGCUGUGAUGCCAGCCAAAACGACAACAAAUACAGCAAAUUUCCCCUUUUAAUUCUCAAUUCCUCCAACGGAAUCAUCCCCUUGUACCAGAUCUAUCAAGGUUGAGGUUGCUGUUGGUGACGAAGAAGAUUUUCCACCCACUCAUACCACAAAUCGAGUGAUCCAUCGAUUUCAAAAUUGAAGAUUCUGAGUUCGAUGGUGUUGGAAGCUCUCCAUGUCAUACUAUGAGGCCAGUUCGAAUUGAACGAGCAACAACUUUUAAUCUGAUGUUUCAUAGUUCGACGGGGGUGGAUGAUUUUAUGAUGAGUUCCAGUUCCAAUUUAUGAUGAAGAUGAAGAUGUGUGAGUUGUCCUCAGUUGUUCAAUCCGAGAGGUGGAUUUGUCUUAAAUGGUUUGGAUGUGUGUACACCAAGUGUUCGACCAUUUGCGGCAAAGGAUUUUGUAGAUGUUCAGUUCCUUUUUCUCGGUAUUGGUUGAUGCACCAUUUUAUGGUUUCUCAGAUUUUGGUCGGAAUUCCUCUGAUUUCGAUUGGUGUUUCUAUUGAUUCCAUCACAGUUCAGAGAGUUGGCAAUGGUCUAACGUUCAUGUAAUGUCGUUUUCCGUAAUAGUGUUUUGGAGCGUAAUAAUGUCUGUUUGGUAGUGUUCAUUCGUGUCAACAGUUCUUCCAACCAUUUUGAUUUCAAAUUUGUCUUGAAGCUUCCCAUUGUGUGAGCUGCUUAGCUGGAGUGUAUGGGUCAUUGUACCUCCUAUCAACAACUUUUUUAUUUAUUUAUUAAAGUUGUCAACCAUGAUGGGUCUUGAGAACCAAAAUCAGAUUGGAUUUGUGCAGAUGUGCACCUUU